GGGAAUCCCUUCCCACCCAAUGACAGCUGGGAUUGGCUCCAGCUCCCCGAUACCCUCGGAAGGAAUAAAUGGGCUUAGAGAGGCUUCCUGGCAGAGGAGAGUAGGUGGUUGGACGCACCAUGACCUGGGGAGGGCCUCCAGUGCUGUCUCCCAACUCAGCAUAGGUGCUUGUGGUCCCAGGCUCUCUUAGCUUACAUAAGUCCCCCGAGUCCUGGAGGACAGCCACAGAGGAAUGCACUGCCAGCAGC